rnacentral:rRNA from 1 species
AUUGAACGCUGGCGGCAGGCCUAACACAUGCAAGUCGAACGAGUGGGGGACGGGUGAGUAAUGUCUGGGACACUGCCCGACGGAGGGGGAUAACUACUGGAAACGGUCGCUAAUACCGCACAGCAUCAGAUGUGCCCAGAUGGGAUUAGCUUGUGGGUGGGGUAACGGCUCACAAAGGCGACGAUCCCUAGCUGGUCUGAAAGGCUGACCGGCCACACUGGAACUGAGACACGGUCCAGACUCCUACGUGAGGCCGCAGUGGGGAAUAUUGCACAAGGGGCGCAAGCCUGAUGCAGCCAUGCCGCGUGUAUGAAGAAGGCCUUCGGGUUGUAAAGUACUUUCAGCGUGGAGGCGUUACCCGCAGAAGAAGCACCGGCUAACUCCGUGCCAGCAGCCGCGGUAAUUC